rnacentral:rRNA from 1 species
AGAGUUUGAUUAUGGCUCAGGAUGAACGCUAGCGAUAGGCCUAACACAUGCAAGUCGAGGGGCAGCACAUGAAGUAGCAAUACGGAUGGUGGCGACCGGCGCACGGGUGAGUAACGCGUAUGCAACCUGCCUACAACAGGGGAAUAACCCGUUGAAAGACGGACUAAUACCCCAUAACACAGGGAUCCCGCAUGGGAAUAUUUGUUAAAGAUUUAUCGGUUGUAGAUGGGCAUGCGUUCCAUUAGCUUGUUGGUGAGGUAACGGCUCACCAAGGCAACGAUGGAUAGGGGAACUGAGAGGUUUAUCCCCCACACUGGUACUGAGACACGGACCAGACUCCUACGGGAGGCAGCAGUGAGGAAUAUUGGUCAAUGGACGCAAGUCUGAACCAGCCACGUCGCGUGAAGGAAGACGGCCCUACGGGUUGUAAACUUCUUUUGUAAGGGAAUAAAGUGUAGUACGUGUACUAUUUUGCAUGUACCUUACGAAUAAGGAUCGGCUAACUCCGUGCCAGCAGCCGCGGUAAUACGGAGGAUCCGAGCGUUAUCCGGAUUUAUUGGGUUUAAAGGGUGCGCAGGCGGGAGAUUAAGUCGGCGGUGAAAUUUUGCAGCUCAACUGUAAAAGUGCCUUCGAAACUGGUUUCCUUGAGUGUGGAUGAAGUAGGCGGAAUUUGUGGUGUAGCGGUGAAAUGCAUAGAUAUCACGAGGAACUCCGAUUGCGCAGGCAGCUUACUAAACCAUAACUGACGCUCACGCACGAAAGGCGUGGGGAUCAAACAGGAUUAGAUACCCUGGUAGUC